rnacentral:rRNA from 1 species
AUGAACGCUGGCGGCGUGCCUAAUACCUGCAAGUCGAGCGAACAGACGAGGAGCUUGCUCCUCUGACGUUAGCGGCGGACGGGUGAGUAACACGUGGAUAACCUACCUAUAAGACUGGGAUAACUUCGGGAAACCGGAGCUAAUACCGGAUAAUAUAUUGAACCGCAUGGUUCAAUAGUGAAAGACGGUUUUGCUGUCACUUAUAGAUGGAUCCGCGCCGCAUUAGCUAGUUGGUAAGGUAACGGCUUACCAAGGCAACGAUGCGUAGCCGACCUGAGAGGGUGAUCGGCCACACUGGAACUGAGACACGGUCCAGACUCCUACGGGAGGCAGCAGUAGGGAAUCUGCCGCAAUGGGCGAAAGCCUGACGGAGCAACGCCGCGUGAGUGAUGAAGGUCUUCGGAUCGUAAAACUCUGUUAUUAGGGAAGAACAAAUGUGUAAGUAACUAUGCACGUCUUGACGGUACCUAAUCAGAAAGCCACGGCUAACUACGU